GCUUGUCUCAAAGAUUAAGCCAUGCAUGUCUAAGUAUAACUCUUUUACUUUGAAAACUGCGAACGGCUCAUUAUAUCAGUUAUAGUUUCUUUGAUAGUCCCUUACUACUUGGAUACCCGUAGUAAUUCUAGAGCUAAUACAUGCUGUAAGCCCGACUUUUCGGAAGGGCCGUAUUUAUUAGAUAACAGACCAAUGCCCCCCCGGGCUUUGUGGUGACUCAUAGUAACUAAUCGGAUCGCAUGGGCCUGUCCCGCGACAAACCAUUCAAGUUUCUGCCCCAUCAGCUUUCGAUGGUAGUGUAUUGGACUACCAUGGCUUUUACGGGUAACGGAGGAUUAGGGUUCGAUUCCGGAGAGGGAGCCUGAGAAACGGCUACCACAUCUAAGGAAGGCAGCAGG
rnacentral:rRNA from 1 species